AAGGAAAUCCUUUCAUGUGUUACCAGUAUCCAAGUCUAAGCUCCUUCGACUUUAGGCUCUCAGUUCCUCUGCUUUUAGGUAAGGGAUAAGUUAUAUGGGCAUUUGGUAAGUCAUGAGGUUAUUUUAAAGUAUAUUAUGCAUUAAAAUGUUUUUGAUUAGAGAUAUGGCAUAUAAUCAUUAUUCUGACAAAGAUGUGUUUGUGAGUUUUCGAAACUCUAUGUAUAUGAUUUGAGCAUAUUGAUGCCAUUACUAAUUUCCACGAACAUGAAGUUUAAAGAAAAGAAUGGAAAUGCUAUUAUUAUGAAACGUUAUGCAAAAUAAGAAAUUUUAGUAUGAUGUAAA